GAGCUGACAAUGAUACCUUCCUUCUCGGUCUCCAUGCCACUGACUCUCCAACAUGGCUGUGCACAGGACACCAUUAAGAACACAGCAUCAGCACUUUGGGAGGCCAAGGCGGGUGGAUCACG